UCUAUUUCCUUUUCUUCAGUUAUUUUCUGUCAGUAUAUGCCAGAUAUAAUAAUACCAGUACAUACAUUAUACAUACAUACUGUUGAUACCAUCUACUUAGUACUUAUUACUGGUGCUGCAAUUUAAGUACAUACUGAAAGCUAAAAGUAUUUUGCGUCAGACAGCGUUGCGCAGAGUUGCGCAUCGGAUCAUUUUAAAAACUCGCGUGCUUACUUAUAAUUUCUACUAAUUAAUAUUCAUAAAUUAUUAAAUAAAUAAACUUAACAAACAACAAUACAAAAUUACUUUACAUUGUAGUCGAGCAGUAUUCAUUUUCAAAAAGUGUUUCAUUUUUUUAAUCAGUUUUUUUAUUUCUUCACUGCAAAUACAUUUAAAAAAUUGGUUUUCUUUUUUUUUAGAAAUUAGGACAGUGCUUUAAAUAUGAAGUGAAUUAAAUUUAUAAAUUAUUUUUUUUUACAUAUUUAUUAUUUAUAUAAACGAGUAUAUUUAAUAUUAGUGGUGUAAUACACCCUCGUGAUGCGCCGCCGCUAAACACUUACCUCGUCCUCGGAUUUUCCACGGAUUUUCCCGAGGCCAAGUGACAAACGUCGUCGGCACCAGUUUACUCUUGGCUAUUGAUUUGGACAAAGUUUGUGUAUACGUGAAAAAAAAAUAAAAAAAAUAAAUCAUAUUUAUUUUGGUGACGAUUUAAAUUAUAUGACAGUUGUAUUUUACAUAAAAUAUAACACAUUAUUUUUAUAAUACAGAUUAUUAUUAAAUGAGGCAUAUGGAAAAAAUAAACAGCAUCAUGAGAGAUAAUACAAGUGAAUUAAAAUCACCUUCUAUUGACACCGAUAUCCUUAAUCCAUUUGUUCAUCGUCUUGAACUCGAUACAACUUAUGAAAAAUUGAAGACAGCUUUUCUAACGGUAGCUCUACUACCUUUACGACUGGCAGCAAUCACUGCAUUAGUGAUUAUCGGAUGGCUGCUAGCUUGUUUAGGACUCCAUGGAUUGUCAGAAGAUGAUCUACGUCGUGCCCCUCUCACCGGUUGGAGACGAAAAAUAGUGCCAUGGCUAUGUUUUCUUGGCCGUUUAACAUAUACAGCAGCAGGAAUGAAAAUAGUAGUACGUGGAAGACAAGCAUCAAGAUCAGAAGCUCCAAUAUUAGUGGUUGCACCUCAUUCAACUUUCAUUGACGGUGGUAUUGUCUACAUCUUGGGAUUUCCAUCUACUAUCGUCAGGAGAGAAUCGGGUCUUAACCCAUUUACCGGAAAAUUGAUAAACUAUACACAGCCAGUUUAUGUGUGGAGAGAUGACCCGAACUCGAGGCAGAAUACGAUAAAAGAAAUAAUUGAACGUGCGACUUCAAAGGAAGAUUGGCCUCAGAUAAUGAUUUUUCCGGAAGGUACUUGUACCAAUCGUUCGUGUCUAAUAACUUUCAAAUGCGGAGCAUUUUAUCCUGGUGUACCAGUACAGCCUGUUUGUAUUCGUUAUCCAAAUAAAUUAGAUACUGUUACAUGGACAUGGGAAGGUCCAGGAGCACUCAAAUUACUGUGGCUUACAUUGACGCAAUUAAAUAGUAGCUGUGAAAUUGAAUUUUUACCAGUAUACAGGCCAAGCGAAGCUGAAAAAACUGAUCCCAAAUUAUAUGCAAAUAAUGUACGCCGUUUAAUGGCAGAAGCUCUUGAAAUUCCGGUCUCCGAUUAUACAUACGAUGACUGUCGUAUAAUAAACAAAGCACAUACGCUACAUUUACCCCAUGCAGCUGUUAUUGUAGAAGCCCAUAAGCUACGCUGUAAACUCGGCCUACAAAAAGUUAAAGUAGAAGAAGAAUUAGUACAAAAAAGACUGGUUAAUAUUGAAGAAACAGUAAAUUUUAAUGAAUUUGCCAGAAUACUUAGAUUAGAUGCCAAAGAUCCUUCAGUUCAACAACUGUUCAGGAUUCAUGAUCGUGCUAAUAAAGGGACAAUAGACAUUGAAGAGUAUAUAUUUACAGUACUCGCUAUCGCAAACGCAAAUUCCGUCCUUGAUCUUGUAGAUAUCGCAUUUAAUGUCUGUGACGCCAAUGGUACCAAGUGCCUCGACGCUAAAAAAUUACGAAAGGCCUUAAAACUUUCUCUACAAUUGGAACCCGAAGAAAGUGACAGAAUAUUUUCACAAGCAACUCGAGAAGGCAGCGGAUCUGAUGCCGUAUCUUUUGGUCAGAAAUUCAUUUUUUUAAUAAUUCAAUAUUUUUUAACCAUACCUGCACCGCAAGUUUCAAUUUUUGCCCUGUUUAGCGGAAAGAAAGUCGUUGAGUCAUGAUUUUCUAUAGAUUUUCUUGUAAAGUGGCAAGUCCUGAUUGUCUAAAGACUUUCCCUAAAUUUUUCUUGGCAGAGGAUGUAAUAACAGUAUUGGGUACGAGGACAGAAUUUACACAUAUCUUUGCAGAUGACAAUGAAGUUAGAAGGAAAAAAAC